CCGUCGAUAGCUCAGUUGGUAGAGCGGUGGACUGUAGAAUUAAACUACUAAAGCAAGCAGGUGUGCUUGUGGGAGAUAUCCAUAGGUCGCUGGUUCAACUCCGGCUCGACGGA
rnacentral:tRNA from 1 species